rnacentral:rRNA from 1 species
GAUGAACGCUGGCGGCGUGCCUAAUACAUGCAAGUCGAGCGAACAGACGAGGAGCUUGCUCCUCUGACGUUAGCGGAGGACGGGUGAGUAACACGUGGAUAACCUCCCUAUAAGACUGGGAUAACUUGGGGAAAGCGGCGAUAAUACCGGAUAAUAUAUUGAACCACAUGGUUCAAUGGAGAAAGACGGUUUUGCUGUCACUUAUCGAUGGAUCCGCGCCGCAUGAGGUAGUUGGUAAGGUAACGGCUUAUCAAGGCAAGGAUGCGUAGCCGAGCUGAUAGGGUGAUCGCCCACACUGGAACGGAGACACGCUCCAGACUCCUACGGUAGGCAGCAGUAUGGAACCUGCCGCAAUGGUCGAGAGCCUUACGGAGCAAGGCCGCGUGAGUGAUGAAGGUCCCCCGAGCGUAAAACUCUGUUACGAGGGAUGAACAAAUGUGUAAUUAACCAUGCACUUCUUGACGGUACCGAAUCAGAAAGCCCCGGCUAACUACGUG